GAUGAACGCUGGCGGCGUGCCUAAUACAUGCAAGUCGAGCGAAUGGAUUAAGAGCUUGCUCUUAUGAAGUUAGCGGCGGACGGGUGAGUAACACGUGGGUAACCUGCCCAUAAGACUGGGAUAACUCCGGGAAACCGGGGCUAAUACCGGAUAACAUUUUGAACCGCAUGGUUCGAAAUUGAAAGGCGGCUUCGGCUGUCACUUAUGGAUGGACCCGCGUCGCAUUAGCUGGUUGGUGGGGUAACGGCCCACCAAGGCAACGAUGCGUAGCCGACCUGAGAGGGUGAUCGGACACACUGGGACUGAGACACGGCCCAGACUCCUGCGGGAGGCAGCAGUAGGGAAUCUUCCGCAAUGGACGAAAGUCUGACGGAGCAACGCCGCGUGAGUGAUGAAGGCUUUCGGGUCGUAAAACUCUGUUGUUAGGGAAGAACAAGUGCUAGUUGAAUAAGCUGGCACCUUGACGGUACCUAACCAGAAAGCCACGGCUAACUACGUGCCAGCAGCCGCCGUAA
rnacentral:rRNA from 1 species